AGUGAACGCUGGCGGUAGGCCUAACACAUGCAAGUCGAACGGCAGCACAGUAAGAGCUUGCUCUUACGGGUGGCGAGUGGCGGACGGGUGAGGAAUACAUCGGAAUCUACUUUUUCGUGGGGGAUAACGUAGGGAAACUUACGCUAAUACCGCAUACGACCUACGGGUGAAAGCAGGGGAUCUUCGGACUUUGCGCGAUUGAUUGAGCCGAUGUCGGAUUAGCUAGUUGGCGGGGUAAAGGCCCACCAAGGCGACGAUCCGUAGCUGGUCUGAGAGGAUGAUCAGCCACACUGGAACUGAGACACGGUCCAGACUCCUACGGGAGGCAGCAGUGGGGAAUAUUGGACAAUGGGCGCAAGCCUGAUCCAGCCAUACCGCGUGGGUGAAGAAGGCCUUCGGGUUGUAAAGCCCUGUUGUUGGGAAAGAAAAGCAGCAGGUUAAUACCCCGCUGUUCUGACGGUACCCAAAGAAUAAGCACCGGCUAACUUCGUG
rnacentral:rRNA from 1 species